rnacentral:rRNA from 1 species
UACGGAGGGUGCAAGCGUUAUCCGGAUUCACUGGGUUUAAAGGGUGCGUAGGCGGACAGGUAAGUCAUUGGUGAAAUCUCCGAGCUUAACUCGGAAACUGCCUUUGAUACUCUCUGUCUUGAAUAUGGUGGAGGUAAGCGGAAUAUGUCAUGUAGCGGUGAAAUGCUUAGAGAUGACAUAGAACACCUAUUGCGAAGGCAGCUUACUACGCCUAUAUUGACGCUGAGGCACGAAAGCGUGGGGAUCAAACAGG